rnacentral:rRNA from 1 species
GUCAAUGGCCUAACGGCUGAACCAGCAAUUUGGGGGAAUGUAUAGCGAAAGCUAGUUGUAUUUUAACUAAUACAAUAUCGACUAUGUCGAAUAAAGUUCUAGGUAGAAUACUGAUAAUGACAAUUUUCUAUCUAUAUGUCUUGACCAAAUCACGUGCCAGCAGUCGCGGUAAUACGUGGAAGACUAGUGUUAUUCAUCUUUAAUAGGUUUAAAGGGUACCUAGACGGUAUUUCUAGCCCGAAUAGGGUACAGAUUUACUAGAGUUUUAUGUAAGAAGACAAAAUAAGAUACAUCAGUGGAAGAACAUUAAUAUAUGUAUUAAUAUCAUUGGUGUUUCUAUUGUAGAACUCAAGGUGGAGAGAUGAAAUUUUUUAAUACUUUGAGAAAACUGGUAUUGCGAAAGCAACCUUCUAUGUAUAAACUGACGUUGAGGGACGAAGGCCUGGGUAGCAAAUAGGAUUAGAUACCCUAGUAGUCCAGGCAGAAAAUUAUGAAUGCCAUAGAUCAGAUUCAUUUGGUUUAUAAAUGAAAGUGUAAGCAUUCCACCUCAAGAGUAAUGCGGCAACGCAGGAACUGAAAUCAUUAGACCGUUUCUGAAACCAGUAGUGAAGUAUGUUAUUUAAUUCGAUAAUCCGCGAAAAACCUUACCACAAUUUGAAUUUUUUAGUUUUGACAAGCGCUGCACGGCUGUCUUCAGUUAAUGUCGUGAGAUUUUGGUUAGCUCCAUUAAAUUAACGUAAACCCUUGCUUUAUUUACUUUUUUUUUAUAAAGUAGUCCACUGUUAUACAUGGUGUGAUAAAAGGGAAUAAGACAAGUCAUCAUGGCCUUAAUAUUGUGG